UUCCAGACUCCUACGGGAGGCAGCAGUGAGGAAUAUUGGUCAAUGGGCGAGAGUCUGAACCAGCCAAGUAGCGUGAAGGAUGACUGCCCUAUGGGUUGUAAACUUCUUUUAUAUGGGAAUAAAACGUUCCACGUGUGGGAUUUUGUAUGUACCAUAUGAAUAAGGAUCGGCUAACUCCGUGCCAGCAGCCGCGGUAAUACGGAGGAUGCGAGCGUUAUCCGGAUUUAUUGGGUUUAAAGGGUGCGCAGGCGGAAGAUCAAGUCAGCGGUAAAAUUGAGAGGCUCACCCUCUUCGAGCCGUUGAAACUGGUUUUCUUGAGUGAGCGAGAAGUAUGCGGAAUGCGUGGUGUAGCGGUGAAAUGCAUAGAUAUCACGCAGAACUCCGAUUGCGAAGGCAGCAUACCGGCGCUCAACUGACGCUCAUGCACGAAAGUGUGGGUAUCGAACAGGAUUAGAUACCCUAGUA
rnacentral:rRNA from 1 species